rnacentral:rRNA from 1 species
UACGAAGGGGGCUAGCGUUGUUCGGAAUUACUGGGCGUAAAGCGCACGUAGGCGGAUACUUAAGUUAGGGGUGAAAUCCCAGGGCUCAACCCUGGAACUGCCUCUAAUACUGGGUAUCUUGAGUUCGAGAGAGGUGAGUGGAAUUCCGAGUGUAGAGGUGAAAUUCGUAGAUAUUCGGAGGAACACCAGUGGCGAAGGCGGCUCACUGGCUCGAUACUGACGCUGAGGUGCGAAAGCGUGGGGAGCAAACAGG